rnacentral:rRNA from 1 species
UUCAAUACUACCCAAAAAGUAGUGUGCACUUUUCUCUUAGUAAGACGUCGUGAUCCAUUAGAAAAAUGAUGCAUUCAAAAUGUAUGGUGGGUCAUCAAUAGGCCAGUAUGAAGUUUGUCCGGAACAAAUGGCAUGAUCUUUUACGGUUGUGUGUAUUGUCUGGUGAGCAUGCUGUGUACUGUAAUGACUGUCUGAUGGAUUUUAAAGACAAUAUCAACAAUGUUACGACAUUGACCACGCAAGUGGUAUUCGAUAUUUGUCCGAUCAACGGCGGUUAAAUUUGGGAUACCUUUUGGACCCGUCUUGAAACACGGACCAAGGAGUCUAUCUAGUAUGCGAGUAAAUGGAUAGUUUAGUGAAAUCUAUUUGCAUAAUAAACUUGACUGUUUUUCAUGGGAAUACGAUAAAUAGCACGCAAGUGUCAUUUGUCUUCCUUCCCGGGGUAUUUUUGUCAACAUAUGCCGUUAAAAAGUAUAUGGAAAAUAUACCAUGAGCAUACUGGAUACGACCCGAAAGAUGGUGAACUAUGCCUGAUCAGGUCGAAGUCAGGGGAAACCCUGAUGGAGGACCGAAGCAGUUCUGACGUGCAAAUCG